UACGAAGAGUGAAAUUGUAGAAAAAUAAAAAGAGAUUUGUCACGCGAUGUAAUAAAAAGAGGUCCCGGUAAUAAAAAGCACAGCCCUAAAUCUAACGGCUGGUGCUCAUGAUCCGCGCAGAGAUGCCAUGCGGCAUCCAUCGGGGGCAGAAGGUAAGUAACGGGCUGGACUGGAACUUGGGCUGCCCUCACAAAAGAUCGGGCCGAACUCAUUUAAUUAAAUCUGGCCAAGCCCAAUUGAAUAAAAUGCGAGCCCAAGUCAAUAGGUCCACUAAUAUUCAACAGUUCAUAUAAAAAUCGACUCAUCAUAUUUUGAACACGACCCAAUCUUCCUAAAAUGAAAAUCACGACACUUUUUUAUGUAUAUAACUUUUAUAGGCAAAUGAAAGUUGAAGGAAAUUUUGGAAUAUGAGGAUUUAUGGAUCCACACUAACAAUAUGACUAAUCACAUCUGUUAUGCAUGAGUUUAUUACCAUUAAAAUUACAAUACCUGCCUCUGUUACCGGCUAUAAAUUGACUAGUAAUUUGUUAUAAUUAAAUAUAUGUAUAAGAUGGAAAACAAAAAUAUAGGGAAAGGGAAAUUGUGUGUAACUGGUGGAAAUGGAUAUGUUGGAUCUUGGUUGGUUAUGAGACUUCUUCAACAUGGCUUUUAUGUCAAUACAACUGUUAGAUCUAAUACAGGUUUGUUUCAUUUUCAAUUUUUAGAUUUUUUUCUCUUCCACACACCAUUUAAUUAGAUUAUUUUGAUUCGAGUGUAAAUCAUUAUUAUUAAAAAUAUUGAUAGAGAAAAACAAUUUUUUGAGUGAGUAUUUAUUUUGAGUGUGAGAAUGUAACUCAUAAUCAAUAUGCUUCAAAAAUUUCUCUAUUUUUACCCUUCAUGCAAGCUUACAUAGGAUUUGAACCACCGAUCAAGUAAUUAACAUGUUUAAUGACAUCCACAAUCUUGUUGAAUCUGGGUAUAAAAUAUGUCUCAAAUUCAUUUUAAAAUCAAAACUUCCAACUUCAACGUAAACCCGAAUUUUAAAAUCUAAAUACUGAACAAUGAAUCAGCUCGCCAGAUUCUUGGAUGAAUUCUUUCGUUGACCUAAGAAUCUGACAAGGCGAGCCAUCAUUUAUCACAAGAUCUUUUAUCACACAUGCUCAAAAUUAUUAUUAUUGAUUAUUUUUUCUUUCACUUAAUUAAUUGAUAUAUAUAUCCAUGCAAACACAAACACACACUAGAAGUAGGGUUUCUCAAAGAUCUACCAAGCUCAGCAGAAAGGCUUCAAAUAUUCGAGGCCGAUCUCAACCACCCCGACACUUUCCGAGCCGCCAUCGCCGGCUGCAUCGGCGUCUUCCUCGUCGCUCAUCAAAUGCCCACCGACACAACCACCGGCGACACCUCCACCACUUCCACGCUAGCCAUUCUUCAAGCUUGCCUCGUCGCCAAAACAGUCAAACGAGCCGUCUACACUUCCUCCGCAGUCGCAGCCAUCUUCUCCGCCAAAAUCUCCACCACAAUCGACGAGGAGUCCUGGUCCAACCUCGACCUCGUGCACAAAUCUCCGCCCCCGGUGGCUGCCUACGCGGCGGCCAAGACCUCAACGGAAAAAUCCGCGUUAGAAUUCGGAGAGAAACACGGUCACUCUGCUUCCUACUUACAUACACGGCCCCUUCAUCGCCCCCCGCUGCCCUGCUUCUGUCUACACGCUCGUCUCUAUGCUACUCGGGAAUGCUGACUCGUACAAGUACUUAGCGGGUUCGGUUGAUGUUGUGCACGUUGAUGAUGUGGCGAGCGCGCAGAUUUUCCUUUUCGAGUCGGGUGAUGCAAAAGGGAGGUAUAUUUGUUCGGCUGUCGGAACUACCAUUGAUGAAUUGUAUCAAUUGCUCUGUAGAAAAUAUCCUCACUAUCAAAUUGCGCCUCCUGAUUGUUCUAUGGGGAGAGCAUCUGAGAUUUCGUCACAGAAGCUUCUGGAAACAGGGUUUAAGUAGAAGUAUGGUUUGGAAGAUAUGUAUGAUGGAGCUAUUGAGAGUUGCAAAAAGCUUGGACUUUUUUAGUUUGGCAAUAGAAAAUUAAUGUGUGAACAUUUAUAAGAUUUAAGUGGUAUUAAUUCUAUAUUA